rnacentral:rRNA from 1 species
AUUGAACGCUGGCGGUAUGCCUAACACAUGCAAGUCGAGCGAGUUGUAGCAAUACAGCUAGCGGCGGACGGGUGAGGAAUACAUAGGAAUUUGCCUUUAGGUGGGGGAUAGCCCAGGGAAACUUGGAGUAAUACCGCAUGAUCUCGUGAGAGCAAAGCCGGGGACCGCAAGGCCUGGCGCCUUUAGAGAAGCCUAUGUCGGAUUAGCUAGUUGGUGAGGUAAUGGCUCACCAAGGCGACGAUCCGUAACUGGUCUGAGAGGACGAUCAGUCACACUGGAACUGAGACACGGUCCAGACUCCUACGGGAGGCAGCAGUGGGGAAUAUUGGACAAUGGGCGAAAGCCUGAUCCAGCAAUACCGCGUGUGUGAAGAAGGC